AAUGUAAUUAUAAAAACUAGAGUAUUAAUAGUUAUAUUCUUUAAACUUAAAAAAUUUGGCGGUAUUUUAGUCUAUUCAGAGGAACCUGUUUUGUAAUCGAUAAUCCACGAUGGACCUUACUUAGUUUUAUUUAUUAGUUUGUAUACCGUCGUUAUAGAAAAUUUUAUAAGAAUAAUAAUUUUCAAUAAAUUAAAUAAAAUCUUAUAUCAGAUCAAGGUGCAGCAUAUAAUUAAGUAAUAAUGGGUUACAAUAAAAUAAUUUAUAUGGAUAUAAAUAUGAAAAAUUUAUUGAAAGUGGAUUUGAAAGUAAAUUUAUAUAGAUUUGUAAAUUGAUUUUAGCUCU
rnacentral:rRNA from 1 species